AAUGCUUACCCAGCGAGAAGAAGACGAGAAGAAUCACAGCGAGGAGACCAAUCACAGCGGUGGUGGUGGUGGUGGUGGUGGUGGUGGGUAGUAGUGGUGGUGGAGGUGGUGGUGGAGGGAGAAGAGUUGAGAAAGAGAGAGAGAUGGAGUUUUGGUUGCGGUGGUGAGGGUGAGAAAGAGAGAUCGAGUUUUAGGUUGUGUUUUUUUUGCUGAAUUCUAAGUCAUUUUAGUAGUAAUGGAGAAGAUGAGAACAGAUGAAGAAGAUGAGAAGAAGAUGCUUACCCAGCGAGAAGAAGACGAGAAGAAUCACAGCAGUGGUGGUGGUGGUGGUGGUGGGUAGUAGUGGUGGUGGAGAAAGAGAGAUCGAGUUUUAGGUUGCGGUGGUGAGGGUGAGAAAGAGAGAUCGAGUUUUUUGCGGUGGUGAGGGUGAGAAAGAGAGAUCGAGUGAGGUUGCGGCCGCCAUUAGAGAGAGAGAGAGAUCGAGUUUUAGGUUUGUUUUUUUUUUUUUUUUUUAUGUUAUAUAGUGUGGCGAAAAAUGUUGGCGAAUUCGCGGUGAAUAAAAAAACACCUAUUCGGGUGGGCGAAAAAAUGGUCGAUUCGCCGAGUUUUUUUGGUGAAUGAGUGUAUUUUGACAAAAAAAUCCGGUGUAUAAAUAAUUUACUCCAAAUACGCCAAAUUCGCCGAGUCUUUAUCAAACAUCAAGAAUACCGGUGAAACGCGGCGAAUCACCCAUUCACCACGGCGAAUCGGUUAUCAAACAGGGCCUA
rnacentral:lncRNA from 1 species